GGGAGGCCAGACAAAUUUCCAAUGUCAGAAAAAAGCUUUUGAAAAACUCCCUCAUGGCCAAAUUCAACACGAGAGGUGGCGGUCAUCUGGAGAAAAUAGCCUUCGAAAAAACGGAACUCUUCUCUGUCAUUAUCGAUGCAGUGAUGACAAACUUCAAGUCCGCCACAGAGGUGGAAAUCAAAAAUUCAAUGGCUGAACACCCGAAGCAGGCCCCAGGGAGAGCUGGGNA